rnacentral:misc_RNA from 1 species
GAAAUACUUUUUCCUUCACUAGUUAUUGUUCAUUGGUACAAUUUCGUCAUAAACUGGAGAAGAGUUCAAUUUGCAAUAACUUUCUAGGCAAAUAAAAUUUUUUUUUUGUCACUUUUACUGUUUUGUUACUUAUGAAAUGAAUUGUAUUUGUAAAAAAAAAUACAUUAAUAUAUAAAAGUUUGUGUAUAAUAAUCAUACCUGGUUCAUCAAAGACUUUCGUAGCUGCGUCAAUAUUCUGUUUAACAAUUUUAGAUCCGGUUAUUCAACGUAAGGUAAGUUUUGUACAGCAUAAAGGGCUAACAACGAUUGCUUUGUUUGAAAGCAUAUGUAAGAAAAUUGGGCUUUGGUCCUUUAUCGUGUCGGAAAUAUGUCUGACGCAUUAACUGCGCCAUUAAUUCCACAACUGCAAGAGAUGCAGCAGCAACAACAACAUAAUGGGCCAAGCGCCAAUGCCUCUGGGGCUCAACAAUGGUAUUCUAAUCCUUGGUAUGCCAAUCAACAAUAUCAGCAGCAGUAUAGCCAGUAUUAUCAGUACUAUAUGCGUUAUGGAUUACAACAACAACAACAACAGCAGCAACAACAACAGAGCAAUAACGCUCCACCAGGAUUUAGUAAUUGUGUAAUACCACAAUCUGAGAAAAAUUUGCCGCCACUACCCUCAGGUCCGCCACCACCUCCGCCACUCAUGCCAGGUAGUAAUAAUGCACAGUUACAGGGCAAUCAAAAAGGUUUUGGAGGAAUCCGCUUUAAUUUAAAUCAGCAAAAGCGCUUAUCGAAUGCACCAAAUCCGUUGCAAAAUUCAACGCCAGGAACAAAUUCCCCAGUCUUUCAAAAUAAUAAUAUAAAUGCGAUGAAUUGUAUGAAUUCGAAUAACAAUAAUAAUACUGGGAAAAAGAAACGUAAGCGUAAUAAGAAACAAAAUUCACUUCAACAACAGCAACAGGCUGCUUUCGAUGCUCACUUUGAGAAUCUAAAUACAAGCCAACAAUUGAACAACAGCUUUGUUAACACGUCAUUACCACCACCUCCGAUUCCAUCUCCAAUAACUGCUGAUUUGACAAAGCCGCCACCGCCUAUAACACCGUAUAUUAAUUUAAAUAGUGCCAACACUGGAAUGGUUGCUACACAGACCGAACAGAAACCAAAUGUGAACAAUAUGACAACGCAACAUUCCAAUUCUGUAGAAAUGUCUACAAAGAAAACAACACUCUUUAAUAAUCCAAAUGAUGCUUGGCCAGAAUCAUUAAAUAAUUAUGUAGCUCGUUGCUAUGCCAAGUGUGCCACCGAUUUAGAUAAAGAUCAAAUUGAUAUAUGCUUGAAAGGGAAAAUAAUGGCGGCAGCGAAUCGCAAUGAGCUUUGGACAAGAGAUUGGGAUAAUGAGCCUAUUCCAAGUGUCCACAGCGAAAGAAAUAAUAUACAAAUGCAGCUGUUUAAUCAGCAUCAGAAACAACAGCAGACUCAACAAGAAAAUCAAAAUUAUAAACAACAAAAUCAAUUAGGCCAUAAACAAACAGUACAACAAAAGAAUUUGAAAGGUAUAUCGCGUAGUUUAAAUGCAAGAUUAGGUCAAAGAAAUUCGUUUGGAGGUGCUCAAAGAUCAUCAAAGGAUUCAAGAAGUCGCUCACGUUCGCCGCAAACAAAUAAAUACCCAAAACGAAAUACGCGUUCGCGAUCUCGUAGUCCUUUGCAUAGUCCACGCCGUAAAACACGUCGCAGUUCUAGUUCGGAAUCUCCGGAACGUCGGUCGUCUGAAAACUUUAUACCAUUAAAUAACUCCUCUAGUAAAAAACAAAAAGUAAAUUCUAAAAAGGGGAAACACCUUAAAAGUCCAAAUGAUUCGUCUAAUUUGAAAUCCAAAAUCCCUUUUUAUUCAUCUUCUAUUGGAGGUGCUAUAGACGACGAUUCGGCAAGAUUGCAACAACGCGCUGCCCGUUUCUCCCAGGGGGUUUCAUCUCAAAAAUCGGUGGUUGCCGUAUCUAGUAGUCCUUUCGGUCAUUCGAAACAACAAAAAAGAAAAUUCGGUGGUAGCUUGGGUGGACGAAUGUUUAUGGACUCUGACGCAUCUGGUGGGGGUUUUGAGACAGGGUUAGAUUUGUUUGAUUUACAUAUUGUAGGAACUUCUAGGCUUUUAGAGAAAUCUUUUCUACGUUUAACCAAAGCACCGCUGCCAUCAGAAGUGCGUCCCAUUGAGGUGUUAACGCACUCUUUACAAAACGUCAAAGAAAAGUGGAGAGACAACCAGGAUUACUACUAUGCUUGUGAUCAGCUUAAAUCGAUUCGUCAAGACCUGACGGUUCAAGGUAUUCGGGAUAAAUUUACUGUAGAAGUAUAUGAAACGCAUGCUCGUAUAGCUAUGGAGAAGGGUGAUCAUGAGGAAUUCAAUCAAUGUCAGACUCAAUUGAAAAUGCUUUACACAGAAGUGGGGCCAAGUCUAAAUAGUUUGGAAUUUACCGCAUAUCGAAUUUUAUAUUAUAUUUUCACAAAGAAUACCUUGGACACAACGACUGUUUUGCGAUCAAUUAAAGAAUCUCAGCGAGAUAAUCCAGCUAUCGCCCAUGCACUCGCUUUCCGUUCAGCUUGGGCUCAGGGUAACUACUGCAAGCUGUUCAAACUUUACAAGACGGCACCACUUAUGGCGGGUCAUUUGAUUGAUUGGUUUAUCGAUAGAGAGCGCAAGAAUGCUUUAAACACAAUUAUCAAGGCAUAUCGCCCGACAAUCGGUAUUGAGUAUGUAACAAAUCUGCUAGCAUUUGAAAGUCAAGAAAAGUGCAAAGAGUGGCUAUCUACCUUCAAUUUACCUAUAAUUGGCGCUAAUGGUGAUCAGAUUGAUUGUAAAGUUGCAGCAGCAGUCACCGUUUAGUCAAAUACUGGGGAAAAUAUUUAGGAAGAAGUGAAAAAAGUUCUAAAUAAUGCCUGUCUUUGCGCGGUGCAUAGCAAUGCUACCAUCACAUAGUUCGACUGAGAUAAACAAUCGCUCUCUACGAUAAAGCCAGCAAUCUUCAAAUUCAAAAAUAUGUAAGCGUUAAAAUAGUGCAAAAACACCUCACUGGGUACACUUCAUAAAAAAAGGAGACAUUUGCUCUUUUAAGGGUGUAAGAUUUGUACAGUUUGGCCCGACUUCAAAAAUGUUUGAAUCAAUUAAUAAUUUUUUGUGGGGCUUGAAACAUUUGAAGAGCAUAAAGGGUGAUAUAAUAAUUAUCUAAUAUUAAUUAGCUAUACGCAUAAUGCUCUAAAUUCUGUGAAAUACCGAAUAUAAACUGCAAUUAACUCACAUUUCGUAUUUAGUCCGUUAUAAUUUAUAUAAAUAAACGAAAGACAUUAAAAUAAAUAAAAAUCAAAAUAUCGGUCGUCGCGCAAUAAAAAUUAAAUAAAGACGUUGCUGGCGAGAUCAUUGAACAGAUCAACAGCACAUUCAGCCGUGUGAAUAGCAGAAGUUUGAAAACGUAAAAUUCCAGUGGAGCGAGUGCGGUUUUAAUUCCGGAAACGAAACACAAUGUGCCAAUGGGAUAUAUUUCUUAAUAAGUUAUAUUCCCGUACAAAUGCUGAAUCGCCCCUUAAUUGUGCUUUUUCCAAAUGCCACAGCCUCAUCGGCAAUGAGCCGAUUUUCUUCGAUUAUAAUUAAUUUACUUCAAUUAUAUACACAAUUGAGUUGGAGCAAGGAAUAGUUAAAAAUAAUACGAAUUAUUAAUGGAUAGAGAUGUAAUUUUCAGAUUGAGUGUAAAUUUUUGAAGUCCAUCGCCUAGUUCUGAUUCUUGCUCCCUCAGAAAUUUAAAUUUAAAAAUAGGUUCCAAGUUUACGCAUGAUUUGUAAAACUGUCUUUACCGAGUUACAUUGUUAGAUAUUUUAAAUGUUAUUUCUUAUUAUUUUAUCUAUUCUGCAAUUAUCGGUGAAAUGACGUGAGCGUUUACGAAAUUUGUCGAUGCUGUGUCUUCGUUGAGAGGGCAAGAAAGGGCGUUUAUCUUGGGGACAACUACAUUGUCAUCAUUACAAAGAUUCGCCAAAAUGGAUCAUGUGUGUGGAAUAAUAAAUUACAAUCCUUUAAGUCAAUACACAGUUGAGAUAAGUGAACCAAGCUCAACAAUUCUCUGAAUUCACCGGACUAGAUCUUCCUGCGGUUUUAUUAGCUCAUGAAUAUGCUAAAACAUAGCUACUGCGGCAUCGGUGCAGCAGCUGCCCUUCGAUAUCAUCCAUUUCACACACUGCUAAAACGUCGAUUUGAUAUAUUAUUACAUGUUAAUUCAUUAUUUUAAGUAUAUAAGGCAUUUUAAGGUUUUAGUAUUAAGUAUUUAUAUAUAAUUAUAUAUAUAUGCUUGUUAUUGAUUUAUGAUUGUUUUUUGCCAUUUGAAAGUAACCAGCAAAAAAAGAAAAACGCUUCCGUGACUUGCGUUUGGUUGGUUCAAGAAAUUUGCGAAUCUAUAAGAGCGUUCAAUAAAAAGGACUACAAAAUUAAA